UACGUAGGGUGCGAGCGUUAAUCGGAAUUACUGGGCGUAAAGCGUGCGCAGGCGGUGAUGUAAGACCGAUGUGAAAUCCCCGGGCUUAACCUGGGAACUGCAUUGGUGACUGCAUUGCUCGAGUAUGGCAGAGGGGGGUGGAAUUCCACGUGUAGCAGUGAAAUGCGUAGAGAUGUGGAGGAACACCGAUGGCGAAGGCAGCCCCCUGGGCCAAUACUGACGCUCAUGCACGAAAGCGUGGGGAGC
rnacentral:rRNA from 1 species